rnacentral:rRNA from 1 species
GACGAACGCUGGCGGCGUGCUUAACACAUGCAAGUCGAACGAAGUGGCGAACGGGUGAGUAAUACGUGAGUAACCGGCCCUCCGUUUUGGGAUAAGCCUUGGAAACGGGGUCUAAUACCGAAUAACGGGGGUAGGGCUCGCGGCCUAUCAGCUUGUUGGUGAGGUGAUGACCUAACCAGGCUGUGACGGGUAGCAGGCCUGAGUGGGUGAACGGUCACAGUGGGACUGAGAUACGGCCCAUGUGCGGCCGGGAGGCAGGAGUGGGGGAUAUUGCACAAUUGGCGAACGCAUGCAGCAGCGACGUGGCGUGGGGGGUGAAGGCUUUCGGGUUGUAACACUUUUUCGCGAUCGAACGGGUAGGUGGAGAAGAAGCGCCGGCUAACUACGUGCCAGCAGCCGCGGUAAUAC